rnacentral:rRNA from 1 species
UACAGAGGGGGCGAGCGUUGUUCGGAAUCACUGGGUGUAAAGGGUGCGUAGGCGGUCGGUUAAGUCUGAUGUGAAAGCCCUCGGCUCAACUGGGGAACUGCCUUUGAAACUGUCUGGCUUGAGGCCGGGAGAGGGUAGCGGAAUUCCCAGUGUAGCGGUGAAAUGCGUAGAUAUUGGGAGGAACACCAGUGGCGAAGGCGGCUACCUGGACCGGUUCUGACGCUGAGGCGCGAAAGCGUGGGUAGCAAACAGG